AUUACCGUUUAUAUUUAAAUUUCUAUCCCCUCCAACAAUACAGUUAAGGUAUUUUUCCUGCGCAAUAUUUAUUUAGUCUUCAGAGAUACGCGUUAAAAAGUACGUGCACGUGGUCGUGUAUUAAGCUUCGUCAUUAGAGUGGAGGAAUCAUUGAAAAAAUUGAUCGAAACAUUAUGACUGUUAACUUUAUGAUGAAAAAUGGUAAAAGUUUUUUCUGGCCAGAUAUCGCUGAUCGUCAAACUGUGACUACUAGAAAUGGAAUCUUAUGUCAGCUAGUGCAUCCACCUGAACCAGUUUCCAAUAGAUUCUACAAAAUACAAGAAUAUGACUAUAUUGAUAAUUUAUUUAAAUCUUCAGUUUAGAUGUUGUAUG
rnacentral:misc_RNA from 1 species